UAGAAUCAUGGGCAACUUUUUCACUCUCAUUCUCUUCUGUGCUUCCUGUUUACUGCGGCACUGCUCACAAUAGUACUUAUAUUCACUGCACAGAGUUUCAGUAUUACUAAACCCUCUCAGACAGUGUGUAAUUGAUGUAUUUUGUUCCACAUCAACCGAUAGAUCCAGAAAGUCCUCAUCUUUGCUACUAACAGCCUCACAGUUAAGACAUCUGGUUUCAUUGGUUAGUGUUCCUUGGAAGAUUUCAUGGACCCACGUCAGAUCAGUCUUGUCUCCUUCUUCACUUUCAAUGCUG
rnacentral:lncRNA from 1 species